rnacentral:tRNA from 1 species
GCUCCCGUAGCUCAGUAGGAUAGAGCGGUCCCCUCCUAAGGGACAGGCAACUGGUUCGACUCCAGUCGGGAGCGCCA